GCUUGCUCUCGGGUGACGAGUGGCGGACGGGUGAGUAAUGUCUGGGAAACUGCCUGAUGGAGGGGGAUAACUACUGGAAACGGUAGCUAAUACCGCAUAAUGUCGCAAGACCAAAGAGGGGGACCUUCGGGCCUCUUGCCAUCAGAUGUGCCCAGAUGGGAUUAGCUAGUAGGUGGGGUAACGGCUCACCUAGGCGACGAUCCCUAGCUGGUCUGAGAGGAUGACCAGCCACACUGGAACUGAGACACGGUCCAGACUCCUACGGGAGGCAGCAGUGGGGAAUAUUGCACAAUGGGCGCAAGCCUGAUGCAGCCAUGCCGCGUGUAUGAAGAAGGCCUUCGGGUUGUAAAGUACUUUCAGCGGGGAGGAAGGUGUUGUGGUUAAUAACCA
rnacentral:rRNA from 1 species